rnacentral:rRNA from 1 species
CCUACGGGGGGCAGCAGUGAGGAAUAUUGGUCAAUGGGAGAGAUCCUGAACCAGCCAAGCCGCGUGAGGGAAGAAGGCCCUAUGGGUUGUAAGCCUCUUUUGUCGGAGAACAGAACCCGGGACGUGUCCCGGACUCCGUGUAUCCGAACAAAAAGCAUCGGCUAACUCCGUGCCAGCAGCCGCGGUAAUCCGGAGGAUGCGGGGGUAAUCCGGAUUUGUUGGGGUUAACGGGUGCGUAGGCGGUCCGUUAAGUCAGCGGUAAAAUGGCGGGGCUCAACCCCGUCGGGCCGUUGAAACUGGCAGACGUGAGUUGGCGAGAAGGAGGCGGAAUGCGAGGUGUAGCGGUGAAAUGCAUAGAUAUCGGGAAGAACUCCGAUUGCGAAGGCAGCGUACCGGCGCCAGACUGACGCUGAGGCACGAAAGCGUGGGGAGCGAACAGGAUUAGAUACCCCGGUAGUC